rnacentral:tRNA from 1 species
GGCCCAGUGGUGGAACUGGUAUACACGCAGCACUUAAAAUGCUGUGCCUUUCAACUGGCAUGUGGGUUCGACUCCCACCUGGGCCA